ACUAUCAACUCAUAAACCAGAUGUUCAGUAGCACCUGGUAUGCAGUGCACCUGCGACAGUGUUUAUUCACCAAGAUCUGACUACUAUUAAUGAUCUAUUACAUUGGGCGUACCUGUAAUGCAGUACAAUAAUCCAUAUCACUGUGUUGCCUAAAUAUCUGUCCCUGACUGUAUUGUGGGUGCAAUUCAUUAUCAGGUAGAACAGAAAAGCAGCAGUACACCAGACCUCGUAGGGCCAGAACUGUGUUCCCCUGGACUAUAUUAUAACUGUUGUUGAGGCUAAUGCUGAUGCUUCACAAAAGACUAGAGAUUGGGUCAGAAAUCCCUUCAUUUGGAACAAGAAGCAUCAGCCUCGAGUCUAUUGCAUGUUGAUGCAAUGGAGUGUCUGCAACAACGUAUCUUCACCAACUCAGACCUGGCAGACCUACAUUAUCAGUUUCAAAGUAGCCUAACCAUUCCUUCAUGGUCGUACCAAUUGUAUCCAACAGCACAAAAAAACAUCGGGACUUGUUUCAAUUGGUUGGUCAUUAUUAGCCUCUGAACACGCGCUGUAUCUUUAAAUGGGCCGAUAACUUGACAGGAAAACUAAGUUGAAGAAAGACAGGUUCUGGACGGGCCUACUAAAGAUAGGUUCGGCCAGACCCGCUAGUGGCAUGGAGGGCUCAGCUCUGAGAUGGGGAUACCUAGUGUGGCCUCGCUACUCGUUUAUGGGUCUCUUUCACACUCCCUCCAUCCCACCCUCACGACGCCAUCGGUUUGUGGCAUGGGACAUAGAGUGUGGAAGUCAAAUAAAAGACGACAUUUUGGCUACAUAGUGGCUGACGUAGACGGGCUUUUUGUUUACAAGCCGAUGUUAACCGCCAUAAAGAUAACGAAACAACCGCGUAAACAAGCACAUUACACACUCGCGAUACAGAGAGAGACAUUUCCAAACCGAGUGAAAAGGAAUGAGAUAAAUGACGCUAGACUAGAAACACUGUCGCCUCUCCGGCCGGUCUACUCUAUUCGCUCUGUUGUUUCCUUCCUUUAUUUCACCAAUGAACAGAUAUUCAACUUACCUGGUUCCAAAAGAGGUUUAUGGUGGCGAAGUGAUUGUGGUGGGUGUUAAUAUGAGAAACCAGUUUGAACGUGGUGUCCCCCGUUGACGUUGUAUGUAGAGCAGGACGGAAGGAGGAAGGGAUUGAAAGAGGGGUGACGUAAAUGAAGAAACAACAGAGACCUCCUCCUCCUCCUCCUCCUCGCUGGCAGACAGGAGAGAAGUGCUGAUAAACUGACAUGGAGAAUAGACCAAGUCGUAUUGCCAUUUUUACUAAGAUAUAAUACAUUUACCACCUUUACUUUCUUUUUAGUCAUAGACCACAUUUCGGUAGGCCAAUAGGCUCCAACUCAAGGUCUGCCCCUAGCGGACUAAACCUCAUUCCAUGGUGAAGGAAGUUUAUAGUGAACUUCACUAACAGAGAGAGUGGAGCAGAGACCAGGCUUUGCGGAAUCUCGCUCCGACUUCGUCGAUUCGCUCAAGGUCAAAAAUCAUGAAACGCCUACCUUGUACCUAUGUUUGUCCUCUGUAGUUGCGUGCCUUUCUUUGUUUGCUGAAAUCUAUACUUUUUCAAUAAACAUUCAUCAAAUACAACCACCGACGUUUAUUCUCGUUUCUGAAGUAAAGGGAUGACAUGACGUGUGCCUUUGUGUCCAAUCAAAUCACACGAUCUACAGCUAGUGACAACCAUUCAAAUGUAGAUCAUUACAGGCGCCAGUAAACAAUACAUUUGUUCCAUAACUUUAUUGACUUGGCACAUUUCUGUCCAGACUCUAGAGAUACUGAGAAAUAACGAGGGAGAAAUCAUAGAAAUAUUUUUAUAUAGGUUUCAUUUACACACUUCAUCGGAUUUACAUUGACACGUGUGCUGAGUUGCCACCUUCGAGAAACGGAAACAAGCAAAAAGUCGGUGGUUGUAUUCACGUUUAUUGAAAAUGUAUGGAUUUCAGCAAGCAAAGAAAGGAAAGCAACUAUUGUUACAAAGGUCUCUAACCAUGGAGUGGACUUUGGUCCGCAAGGUCUGCCACAUGCAACCAAUAGAGGCAAUAAUUAUAAAAAUGUUCUUCUCAUUACUCUCUAUUUAUAACUGAUAAUAAUAAUAAUCUAUAUAGUCGGGGCUAGAUUCCGCAAAGCCUGGUCUCUUCUCCACUCUGUUGGUGAAGUUCGUAAACUUCCUUCACCAUGGAGUGGAGUUUGGUCCUCAAGGUCUGCAACCAAUAUUGGCAUUAAUUAUUAAAAUGUUCUUCUCAUUACUCUCUAUUUAUAACUGAUACUAAUAAUGAAUAAUAUCUCAUUAAGUCCUUAUUGGGCGUUAAGCCACCAGAGGGCGCUCUAGCACAAUAUACCCUGCAGACAGGCUUGGUGCAGACCAUAGAGAAUAAUAGAGGCCCCUAGUCGCCAAAAGAUUCUAUUAAUAUAGGUUGUAUUUAAUAUAGUUAACUGGGUGGGACUUCCAACUUUAUUGGCUGAUCCAUCCCGAUAACCCUGUUGGAGUCAUGUCCUAUCUGGAUCAGCCAAUCAUGAAGAAAAAUUACUACUUCAAUAUGGAGAUUGCCUCAAUGGUGCUGCCCAUGCUGUUAUGCUAUAAUGGGAGAGAUUUGAUUUGAUUUUGAUUUGAUUUUAUCAACAGAUAUAAAGAUGAGUCCUCUUUCUAUCUCUAUGGCGCAGGCCCAGACCUGCCUUGUAUUUUUGAAGGAGAGUAAUUCCUUUAAUUCCUCAGUUUGGAACUCGGUAGUGAGUGUUGCAACCGAGGACAGAUGAUUUUUAUGCUGUACACACUUCAGCACUUGGCGGUCCCGUUCUGUGAGCUUGUAUGGCCUUCCACUUCUCGGCUGAGCCGUUGUUGCUCAUAGACGUUUCCACUUCACAAUAACAGCACAUACACAGAACCCAAACCGGCUGCGCGCGUGCGCCAUCAUGCGCUAUCAUGCAUACAUUUAUUUUGUCCCCCUACACCAAAUGCGAUCAUGACACGCAGGUUAAAAUAUCAAAAGAAAAAAUGAACCAAUUACAUUAAUUAUGUUAUUCUAUAGACCAUGCUGUAUUAAUAAUACCAGGGUAGGUUACUUUAUGUAUAACAUAAAGUAACCUACCCUGAUAUCAUUAAUACAGUAUGGUCUAUAGAAUAACAUAAACCUACCCUGGUAUCAUUAAUACAGUAUGUAUUAAUGGUAUUUCCAAGGGCAGCUCCAACCAACAUCUCCAAUCUCGUCUCAAUGAUUGGACUCUAGGUUAGCUGACUCCAAUUAUCUUUUGUAGAAUCAUUAGCCUAGGGGUUCACAUACUUUUUCCAACCUACACUGAAUGUUUAAAUGAUGUAGUCAAUAUAGACAAGAAAAAUACAAUUUGUGUGUUAUUAGUUUUAGCAGACUGUUUGUUUGUCUGUUGUUGUGACUUAGAUGAAGAUCCGAUCUAAUUUUAUGACCAAAUUAUGCAGAAAUCCAGUACAUUCCAAGAGGUACUUUUUCUUGCCACUGUACAUGAGGGCCAUCUAGGGAUUGAAAAAUCCAAAUUACGUGCAGAAGCAGUGUUAUUCUGGCCCAAUAUGAAUGCUGAUAUAGAGCAUACAGUCAGAGCCUGUGAAACAUGCCAGAAAUACUUUGAGUCAAAUAUCUAGCAAUGUGCAUGAAAGAUCUGGUCUAAUCAACAAUCUAUAUAUCAAUAAUAUUAUUUGUCACAUGAGCUGAAUACAACAGGUGUAGACUUUA
rnacentral:lncRNA from 13 species